rnacentral:rRNA from 1 species
AACGAACGCUGGCGGCAUGCCUAACACAUGCAAGUCGAACGAGACCUUCGGGUCUAGUGGCGCACGGGUGCGUAACGCGUGGGAACCUGCCCUUAGGUUCGGAAUAACUCCCCGAAAGGGGUGCUAAUACCGGAUAAUGUCUUCGGACCAAAGAUUUAUCGCCUUUGGAUGGGCCCGCGUUGGAUUAGCUAGUUGGUAGGGUAAAAGCCUACCAAGGCGACGAUCCAUAGCUGGUCUGAGAGGAUGAUCAGCCACACUGGGACUGAGACACGGCCCAGACUCCUACGGGAGGCAGCAGUGGGGAAUAAUGGACAAUGGGCGAAAGCCUGAUCCAGCAAUGCCGCGUGAGUGUUGAAGGCCUUAGGGUUGUAAAGCUCUUUUACCCGGGAUGAUAAUGACAGUACCGGGAGAAUAAGCUACGGCUAACUCCGUG